GCCGCGGUCGCUUAACCUGGUAUAGCACAGAUUCUUAAGCUAAGAAGUGUAAGCCUGGAAAGCCUGACCCGUAUGGGUAUCUGGGUUCAAAUCCCAGUCGCGGCG
rnacentral:tRNA from 1 species